rnacentral:rRNA from 1 species
UACGAAGGGGGGCUAGCGUUGCUCGGAAUUACUGGGCGUAAAGGGCGCGUAGGCGGAUAUCUAAGUCGGGGGUGAAAGCCCAGGGCUCAACCCUGGAAUUGCCUUCGAUACUGGAUAUCUUGAGUACGGGAGAGGUGAGUGGAACUCCGAGUGUAGAGGUGAAAUUCGUAGAUAUUCGGAAGAACACCAGUGGCGAAGGCGACUCACUGGCCCGUUACUGACGCUGAGGCGCGAAAGCGUGGGGAGCAAACAGG